GUCUCUUCAGGGACCUCUGAUAAAAUUGGUACGAUAUGGAGAAAAUUAGCAUGACCUUUACGCAUGGUCAAAAAGUAAUAUUUUAAAUUAGUAUUACAAUAACUUU